UUUUUCUGCAGUGUUUGUAAACAAUCUGCAAUAUUUUGCAAUAUUUUUUUUUUGCUCUCUGUGUGUAGAAUUGUUUUGGUUAUUCUGAAUUUCUCCAGGGAGAGAGUGUUGAUGGAUAUGGGCAAAGUUGUUAUUUUAAAAUGACUGGAAAUGUGGCAAUAAGAGCAUUAAAAAGUUGAAAGUUGGCGCAUUCAAUGAACACAUUCCAGCAAUUGCACACUCGUACUACCGUUAGCUACUAUGCGAAGCACGCGAAGGAAGGUAUUGCAAAGGCACCUUCCGCUGCUCCAUCGGAAAUAGGAUCGGAACCAGACAAUGAGGCGAAAACUGAGCAGCCACGGGGGAGCAGUGCCGAUAAGGAAAAUCAGCAUGAACGCGGGAUUUUACUUUCGAAGGAAUAGGAAUCUACUCCGAAUAAAAUGUGUUUAAGGACAAGCACAAGCGCGAUGGGUUGUCGGAAAAAUGUCCCUGUUGCACUUAUCAUGCAGAUAAAAAAGAAUGGAAACGGUUCAAAUAUCGUCUACCAGGAGAAAACAACCAUUCAGAGCUUAGAUGGGAAGUGCGAAACAAACUGUAAAGUAAAUUUGAAUCAAACAAAAUUUUAUUUCAUGAUGCUAAUGAUUUACCGAUCGACAUGGAAUUUCGUCAUAAAUGACUUCGCAUCGUUGCGAUGUGAAUGUUCGCUUAAUUUCGAUUCAAUUUCCUGCGCUGCGCUUCUAGUCAGAACCAGAGUAUUGAGUUUAAGCAUUGAGUAGACAUUCAGUCUUUAAACGUGCAUCAGAUUCAUAUAUUCGACUGCAUCCGCCCCAGCGAUGAUAUUCUUCGGCAUAGUAUCGCUGCUAUCGAUGAACAAAACUGACGGUCCCCAUGCUCACUCAUGAGCCAAAUCCUUUAGAUAUUGUGGAUCAUCUGUAGGAAUUUUCAAACUCUCGACAACAUGCAGAUCAUUCUUGGCAAAUUUGAUCGACAGCGAUGACAGCAAGAGACAUUUGUUCAAAGCCCCCAAAUAAAAUUCUUCUUAAAGAGCGUUCUGAUCUGUUACACUGCUUGCUGGGGCUAUACACAAUAUCUGCCAGUCUGAUCAUGCCGAGAGGCAGUAUUCCAGCUGCAUUCAGGAUACCUACGAAAAAGAUUUAAAAUUGUUCACAAAUCUGAAUCUGGCGAUUGUUUAUUUGCGUAUAAAAAUGAAUAUGGGUUGCGACAGGUACAACUUAGAGGCGAAUGAACUCUACGAGUUUAAAGCCUCUAUAAUUCAACAACAACAACAACGACAGGUUUUCUAUACUAAUCUGAAGCCUUACAGAUUUUUAUCAAUCGGUAAUGAAUUGGUUUUAAACUUAUACUCAAUGAGAUUAUUGCAACUCUAUUGAACUAUUGAUACUCAUUUUUCAUUAAUCAACAGUAUGCAACACGUCAAUUUUGAAACAUAUGGAUAUGAUUUCUACAGAUCAACUUGUUAAAAUUGAACAGCUGUUCAGAAAAAACAUAUUUCAACAAUAUGUAAUAAAAGUAUUUAUAUCGUGAUAUCUCGGCUUAUGUCCAAUCACUACAACCUAAACGCGCAUCUCUAUCGCAUUGGGCUCGCAGCAAACAAUCUUUGUGAUUGUGGCGAUGGCUACCACGACAUAGAGCAUGUUGUCUGGUCGUGUAUCCGGUUCCAUACUGCUCGCUCUCAGCUCUCUAGAGCACUGAGAGCACAAGGCAGACAAUCGGAGAUCCCCGUCCGGGAUAUCUUAGGUAGCCGUGAUCCUGAUCUUCUGCUUCAUCUAUACUUGUUCCUCAGGAACGCCGAUGUCAACGUUUAAUGAUGUUUCCUUCGUUGUGUCCCCGUUUUAUAUCCCUCCUAUCCGAUCGAUAAACUUUUAUUAGUCGCGGCAAUACAUACACACACUCUUUACAGAUACACGGGCCAAAGGUUGUGCAGUCCACUGAUCAUUCAACAAGAGCCAAAGGUUGAACCGCUCAUGACAACUCUACAUGAACUGAUGAUUGCGCCGGUUAGUAACCAUUCUAUCCUGGAUUCCUCGAGUCGAGAAAGACGCACCACGCUAGAUAUGAGGUACAGACUAGGGGGGCGUUGCUGAUUAAUGGUCAGCUGCAUCCCUAUAGGAAGUAUCCCGUGUUGGGCACACGUACGAGCAUUGGAGACAGCAACAUCUCAAUUACGAGAACACUUGUAAUACUAACCUCGAGCCGACCGCGAGUAAUCGAUUACAUAUUACUAACAUAGAUAAUAAGAAAAAUUGUCAAAGUAUUGAACUCCCGGCCCCGUGAGGCUAACGCCAUAUGAGCCUUGGUAAAAAUAUAUAUUUUGGAAAAAAAAGUAUUUAUAAU